rnacentral:rRNA from 1 species
ACGCUGGCGGCACGCCUAACACAUGCAAGUCGAACGAAGUAGCAAUACUUAGUGGCAGACGGGUGAGUAACAUGUAGGUAUCUGCCCUUUGGCCUGGAAUAACACGAGGAAACUUGUGCUAAUACCGGAUAAGUCUUUACAGAGAAAGCUUUAUGCACCAUUGGAUGAGCCUGCACUUGAUUAGUUUGUUGGUGGGGUAAUGGCCUACCAAGACUUUGAUCAAUAGCUGAUUUGAGAGGAUGAUCAGCCACAUUGGGACUGAGACACGGCCCAAACUCCUACGGGAGGCAGCAGUGGGGAAUCUUGCACAAUGGAGGAAACUCUGAUGCAGCGAUGCCGCGUGAGUGAAGAAGGCCCUUGGGUUGUAAAGCUCUUUCGUCGGGGAAGAAAAUGACUGUACCCGAAUAAGAAGGUCCGGCUAACUUCGUGCCAGCAGCCGCGGUAAUACGAAGGGACCUAGCGUAGUUCGGAAUUACUGGGCUUAAAGAGUUCGUAGGUGGUUGAAAAAGUUGGUGGUGAAAUCCCAGAGCUUAACUCUGGAACUGCCAUCAAAACUUUUCAGCUAGAGUAUGAUAGAGGAAAGCAGAAUUUCUAGUGUAGAGGUGAAAUUCGUAGAUAUUAGAAAGAAUACCAAUUGCGAAGGCAGCUUUCUGGAUCAUUACUGACACUGAGGAACGAAAGCAUGGGUAGCGAAGAGGAUUAGAUACCCUCGUAGUCCAUGCCGUAAACGAUGUGUGUUAGACGUUGGAAAUUUAUUUUCAGUGUCGCAGCGAAAGCGAUAAACACACCGCCUGGGGAGUACGACCGCAAGGUUAAAACUCAAAUGAAUUGACGGGGACCCGCACAAGUAGUGGAGCAUGUGGUUUAAUUCGAAGAUACGCGCAGAACCUUACCAACACUUGACAUGUUCGUCGCGACUCUAAGAGAUUAGAGUUUUCGGUUCGGCCGGACGAAACACAGGUGCUGCAUGGCUGUCGUCAGCUCGUGUCGUGAGAUGUUGGGUUAAGUCCCGCAACGAGCGCAACCCUCACUUUUAGUUGCCAUCAUUAAGUUGGGCACUCUGAAAGAACUGCCAGUGAUAAGCUGGAGGAAGGUGGGGAUGACGUCAAGUCCUCAUGGCCCUUACGUGUUGGGCUACACACGUGCUACAAUGGUAUCUACAACAGGAAGCAAGACUGCGAAGUUAAGCAAAUCCCUAAAAGAUACCUCAGUUCGGAUUGCACUCUGCAACUCGAGUGCAUGAAGCUGGAAUUACUAGUAAUCGUGGAUCAGCGUGCCACGGUGAAUGCGUUCCCGGGUCUUGUACACACCGCCC